GCUGCCCCGGCACCCGCUGCAGUCGCACAAACAGCCAACAACUUCCGCCCCAAUGCGACCUCUGACCUGAGAUGCUAUUGGUCCGCCGGGCCACACACUAGCUACAGGUUAAUGGACGGACACGCUGGUGAGGUGGCAUGAGUCUGCAGCUGAGGAGAAGAUGGUGUCAGGCAAAGACAGUUAAAGUGAUGGAGGCGAUGCUAGUUGAUGCUAAAGAGCGCGGGCUGCUUGUUUUCCUCCAUCUUGAGUUCACACGGACGGCAUCCUCGAUGGUUCCAAUUUCCAGCCCAUUCCCCAAUUUUCAACCCCAGUGACAGACAACACACGCUGGAAUGUCUGUUUAGCUAAAGAAGGGAAUUGAAACAAGACCUCCUCGGAAAAAACCACUGGCUCAUCCAUGAGAAGUUUGCAUCAGAUAUGAUGGGGAGAGGAGAGCUGCUGCAGGAGCCAGAGGACGAUGUGUGAUAGUAACUGAAAAUAAGGAAAAAAAGUGUUUGUUUCAGCGUCAGUGUGGUUGUGAG